CCUACGGGAGGCAGCAGUCGGGAAUAUUGCGCAAUGGAGGAAACUCUGACGCAGUGACGCCGCGUAUAGGAAGAAGUUUUUCGGAAUGUAAACUAUUGUCGUUAGGGAAGAGAAAGGACAGUACCUAAGGAGGAAGCUCCGGCUAACUACGUGCCAGCAGCCGCGGUAAUACGUAGGGAGCGAGCGUUAUCCGGAUUUACUGGGUGUAAAGGGAGCGUAGACGGCAGUGCAAGUCUGGAGUGAAAGGCGGGGGCUCAACCCCCGGACUGCUCUGGAAACUGUACGGCUGGAGUGCAGGAGAGGUAAGUGGAAUUCCUAGUGUAGCGGUGAAAUGCGUAGAUAUUAGGAGGAACACCAGUGGCGAAGGCGGCUUACUGGACUGUAACUGACGUUGAGGCUCGAAAGCGUGGGGAGCAAACAGGAUUAGAUACCCCAGUAGUC
rnacentral:rRNA from 1 species